rnacentral:rRNA from 1 species
CAGUCGUACGCUUCUUUUUCCCCGGAGCUUGCUCCACCGGAAAAAGAAGAGUGGCGAACGGGUGAGUAACACGUGGGUAACCUGCCCAUCAGAAGGGGAUAACACUUGGAAACAGGUGCUAAUACCGUAUAACAAUCGAAACCGCAUGGUUUUGAUUUGAAAGGCGCUUUCGGGUGUCGCUGAUGGAUGGACCCGCGGUGCAUUAGCUAGUUGGUGAGGUAACGGCUCACCAAGGCCACGAUGCAUAGCCGACCUGAGAGGGUGAUCGGCCACAUUGGGACUGAGACACGGCCCAAACUCCUACGGGAGGCAGCAGUAGGGAAUCUUCGGCAAUGGACGAAAGUCUGACCGAGCAACGCCGCGUGAGUGAAGAAGGUUUUCGGAUCGUAAAACUCUGUUGUUAGAGAAGAACAAGGAUGAGAGUAACUGUUCAUCCCUUGACGGUAUCUAACCAGAAAGCCACGGCUAACUACGUGCCAGCAGCCGCGGUAAUACGUAGGUGGCAAGCGUUGUCCGGAUUUAUUGGGCGUAAAGCGAGCGCAGGCGGUUUCUUAAGUCUGAUGUGAAAGCCCCCGGCUCAACCGGGGAGGGUCAUUGGAAACUGGGAGACUUGAGUGCAGAAGAGGAGAGUGGAAUUCCAUGUGUAGCGGUGAAAUGCGUAGAUAUAUGGAGGAACACCAGUGGCGAAGGCGGCUCUCUGGUCUGUAACUGACGCUGAGGCUCGAAAGCGUGGGGAGCAAACAGGAUUAGAUACCCUGGUAGUCCACGCCGUAAACGAUGAGUGCUAAGUGUUGGAGGGUUUCCGCCCUUCAGUGCUGCAGCUAACGCAUUAAGCACUCCGCCUGGGGAGUACGACCGCAAGGUUGAAACUCAAAGGAAUUGACGGGGGCCCGCACAAGCGGUGGAGCAUGUGGUUUAAUUCGAAGCAACGCGAAGAACCUUACCAGGUCUUGACAUCCUUUGACCACUCUAGAGAUAGAGCUUCCCCCUUCGGGGGCAAAGUGACAGGUGGUGCAUGGUUGUCGUCAGCUCGUGUCGUGAGAUGUUGGGUUAAGUCCCGCAACGAGCGCAACCCUUAUUGUUAGUUGCCAUCAUUCAGUUGGGCACUCUAGCAAGACUGCCGGUGACAAACCGGAGGAAGGUGGGGAUGACGUCAAAUCAUCAUGCCCCUUAUGACCUGGGCUACACACGUGCUACAAUGGGAAGUACAACGAGUCGCGAAGUCGCGAGGCUAAGCUAAUCUCUUAAAGCUUCUCUCAGUUCGGAUUGUAGGCUGCAACUCGCCUACAUGAAGCCGGAAUCGCUAGUAAUCGCGGAUCAGCACGCCGCGGUGAAUACGUUCCCGGGCCUUGUACACACCGCCCGUCACACCACGAGAGUUUGUAACACCCGAAGUCGGUGAGGUAACCU